rnacentral:tmRNA from 1 species
GGGGCUGACCUUGGCUUUCGACGGGAGAGCGCGGUCUGUGGUUGCAUGCCGGCUUGGACACGCCGUAAAACUAUCCGCUAAAUUUAAACGCAAACAACGCGAACUACCGCCCCGCUUACGCAUACGCUGCGUAAUGGGCAGGCUCCAAACCCCAGCCGCGAGGGUUCGGACGCCUUAACAUUAGCGGCUUUGGACGCUUGAAUGGCUUACCUGCGUUUGAAACUAGCCUGCGUUUUUAUGAGGGUUCGCCCGACUGGCGCUCGUAGAAACAAAGACAAUCAGUCGGUUCUAAGCAUGUAGAGGCUACAGGUUUAACUUUUUCGGACAGGGGUUCGAUCCCCCUCAGCUCCACCA